rnacentral:rRNA from 1 species
GACGAACGCUGGCGGCGUGCUUAACACAUGCAAGUCGAACGGUGAAGGGACCGGUUUUUGCUGGUUCUGGAUGAGUGGCGACCGGGUGAGUAACACGUGAGUAACCUGCCCCCUUCUUCUGGAUAACCGCAUGAAAGUGUGGCUAAUACGGGAUAUUCUGCGCCUGCUGCAUGGUGGGUGUGGGAAAGAUAUUGUUUCGGUGGGGGAUGGGCUCGCGGCCUAUCAGCUUGUUGGUGGGGUGAUGGCCUACCAAGGCGGUGACGGGUAGCCGGCCUGAGAGGGUGGACGGUCACACUGGGACUGAGACACGGCCCAGACUCCUACGGGAGGCAGCAGUGGGGAAUAUUGCACAAUGGGCGCAAGCCUGAUGCAGCGACGCCGCGUGAGGGAUGGAGGCCUUCGGGUUGUAAACCUCUUCCGCCAGUGAAGCAGGCCUGUCCCUUUUGUGGGUGGGUUGACGGUAGCUGGAUAAGAAGCGCCGGCUAACUACGUG